GGGCGACACGUGCAGGCUGCAGCCGGGUGUACUUGUGUUUUUCUGCAUGAGAGAUGUUUCCUACAGCCGCUAUAUGAGCCGUACAGAGAUAUGAAGAGUAUAAGACACCUGAUUCUAUAGUUCUGGAUCCAGUAAACAGUUCCUCUAAAUAUUAAAGUCAGUACAGUUACUCUAUCAGAUUUUAAACAUGAACUCAUCUCCUUCUGUCUCUGUAGAUCUGUGAUCCCAGUGAAGACACAUAUACAGCUCUUGAGCUCAAGUCCACGACCUCUGACCUCUACAACACACUCACAACCGUUCGUCCCAGACCUCCUAAAGACUCUUGAUCCUAAACAUGAGAAUCCAUCAAUCAACAGGAAGAUGCUGCAGUGAGAGGCGGAGCACAAAGGAACCAAUCCUGAGCUCUGUGGGCGGAGCCACAUAUGAUUGACAGCUGUCAUUAGUUAAGAGUUGAUAAAGCCUUUUAUUUCUUUAUAGUUUAGGAAAGAUUAUGUAACAGUGAAAUUAAAUGAGUGGUAUUGUGUAGAAAUUUAAAUAUAAAUGUUAAAGUGAAGUAAGCUCACUGUUUUAACAUUUUAAAAUACAUUGUCCUGCAAUAUCUUUACAAUGGACAAUAUAUUGUUUUUUGAUCUCAAUAUUAUCAGCUUCACUUUUCUGUCAGCUGUCAAUCAUCAUUAUUCAUCUUCAUGUGUAUGUUGUUUUAUACUGUACUGUGUUUAAAGUCCUUCACUCUCAGAAAUAAAGGUACAAAAGCUGUCACUGGGGCGGUACCUUUUCAAACAAAAUAU